UCGAUUUGGAGUUUGUUGCCCUGAGUGAUGGGCUCCGAAGCUAACGCGAUAAAUCGACCGCCUGGGGAGUACGGCCGCAAGGUUAAAACUCAAAUGAAUUGACGGGGGCCCGCACAAGCGGUGGAGCAUGUGGUUUAAUUCGAUGCAACGCGAAGAACCUUACCUGGUCUUGACAUCCACAGAAACUUGCAGAGAUGCGAGGGUGCCUUCGGGAACUGUGAGACAGGUGCUGCAUGGCUGUCGUCAGCUCGUGUUGUGAAAUGUUGGGUUAAGUCCCGCAACGAGCGCAACCCUUAUCCUUUGUUGCCAUUGGUUCGGCCGGGAACUCAAAGGAGACUGCCGUUGAUAAAGCGGAGGAAGGUGGGGACGACGUCAAGUCAUCAUGGCCCUUACGACCAGGGCUACACACGUGCUACAAUGGCGUAUACAAAGGGAGGCGACCUCGCGAGAGCAAGCGGACCUCAUAAAGUACGUCUAAGUCCGGAUUGGAGUCUGCAACUCGACUCCAUGAAGUCGGAAUCGCUAGUAAUCGUGAAUCAGAAUGUCACGGUGAAUACGUUCCCGGGCCU
rnacentral:rRNA from 1 species